ACAGGGGUCACCUUGCUAUGAAGAACAGCAAGUCUUAACUUAUAUUCUCCUUCUAAGGUCUAAGAAGCCUUUACUCUGAAAUACCUUAAAGACUGCCCUUGCUAUGUCUAUUAGUUCAUAUACACUUCCCUCAGAUACUAAGAGGAAAACUUCUGACCAUCUCUUAAUUAGCAAACAUUUUAUGUAAUGAGAUAUUCCUAUGGAUAUACUUUGUAUCAUCAACACUGGGUUAAGACAAUGGACCAUCUUACUCCCUCACAGUAAACAGCAACUGCAGACCUAGGAGACAACUUGACAUAUAUGUACAAUUUCUUAUUUGUAAAAGGCAAGGACAUAUAUGGUUAACUGACACACUAAACUGGGGGCAUGCCACUCUGUAUUGAAAAGAGAAUAGGGUUUUGGGGUCAUAUUGGGUCAGAGAGGUUUAUAAUGACAAAGCUGUGUAAAUCAUGAAAAGGUAAGUUGGAUAUUCAGUGAGAUCUCUUUAAAAGAAAAAUAGGAAUAUAAAAAGUAGUAUUAAGGAAAUAAAAGUCAGAGACAGAACAAAGAAGCUGAUGGUGAGCAGAUCUAGAGCCUCAGAUCUUUACCGUUUGGGGAGAAGGACACAUGGACCAUCUUCCCUGUGUGCAGCUGAAUCAAGAGCCUACUACACUUUUUGUUCCUUUUAAGCUUCAGGCAACAAUAGGUGAUGCUCUGUUUCUGUUCUGAACGGAAACUACCCUGUGAGUGAAUAAGUUGUUUCUUUUACUAAGUGGUAGUUUGUCAUCUUAAAAUUUCUACUUAUGAGGCUUCAUUCAGCUCUCUGAACCAAUCGGAGUAACCCCCAAUCUUUUACAUGCACUGAGGAUGGUCCUCACUUCCUCCACGAUUCAUGUUUUGGAAGCAUCACCAACACACUAACACUUGCACACUGCGUCACACCACUCCCCACUCACAGCUGCUCUGAAAGGCAAGGCACUUCUCUAUCUCAUUGAUGACAUCAAAGUCUAGACAAAAAAAUGACCUUUUCAGUCACACAGUGUAAUUGGCAGAGGCGGACCCUAAAUCUGACUUCCGAGAAUAAGUCUGCGCUUCUUUCUAUCUGAAAUGAUUUUGCUUUAUGUAUUGGUUAAGUUAAGUACUUUCUUGAAGACCAGGCCUCUCUGAACACAUUCAAUUCGUAUUACCACUCUCAAGUUCUGGCAUUGAGAAUACUGCACGUAACAGCACAAAGGAGACCAGGAUUACCAGUGAUGUAGAAAUUAUAGCCCCAGCUACCAAUUCUGCCUAUGAAGCACCUACAGUUAGAUAAAAGUGAGCGAGACUUCGGAGGUAGUGGGGAGUGUGCUACAGGGGGCUUAGGCAGAUUCUGAUCCCCUGCACCUGGGUAUCUUUAGCUCACUAGAACCUGUACUAAUCAGUUUGGUCCUUUGUGACCCAUACUUCAAAAUCCCAUCUAUAGCUCCUCUAGCAAGAGGGAGUAGAGCUUUGGUCUCAGGGCUGGCAUAAAACAAUUAUCUAGACUCGUGUUAACUUUCUUUAUGACACUCCAGCAACCUAUAUGCAAAUGCUUGUGUUUAGAGCUGUGUCUCAUGCUGACAAGCCUCUUCUCAUGCCGACUGUUACCCUAGGUCAGCCUUCCCACCUCAAUUUGACACUUAUGCUUCAUGGUUCAGUGUAUUUCUAUUAUCCUAAAUGCUUCUCACUAGCUCCCCCCUCCCCUGCUAGUCUGGUGCAAUGUCUGAAAGCUACUUUCCCGCAGGACUUCUCAAGGUUUAACUGGUAGAUUAAAGAGUUUAAAAGGAGAAAAACACUGGAAAUAGGAUGUGAAAUAAAAUUGUGAAGACUUAGAACAGUAAAUAUUGCUAUGGGACAUAAGGAUGAAAUGAUGUUAGUGUAGGACAGCUGUGUUUUAAGUGAGACUGUGCAAAUAACCACACUUUGACAAAUCAAAUUCCAUGCUGUUCCCAGCACAUGACCUGUAGGCUUGACUUCUGUAGUUUGACUAGAAAAUUCUCUUCCAUCUGACAAAUCCUUCUUAACUGUCUCAAAGAUGGGCCAAAUAUCAUUAUUUCUUUAGAGACCAGCUCUAAUGUCAUCCUGUGGUAAAUUCUGAUAUUUCUUCCAUUAACAGAUGUAUUUUUCCAUUAUCACUUUUGGGGCACAUCUUUUCACUUAGAUUUAAUAUGGGACUAGCACAUAACUCAUCUUUGUAUAGCCAUACUUCCACACAAUGUAAAUAUUUGUUGAACAGUUAAAAUUUCUAAUAAAUCCUGUUAUCAUGAAAAUAGUCC
rnacentral:lncRNA from 1 species